UAGCCGUAAACGAUACUCGCUAGGUGUCGGCCACGGUGCGACCGUUGUCGGUGCCGUAGGGAAGCCGUGAAGCGAGCCACCUGGGAAGUACGGCCGCAAGGCUGAAACUUAAAGGAAUUGGCGGGGGAGGCACAACAACGGGUGGAGCUUGCGGUUUAAUUUGGAUUCAACGCCGGAAAUCUUACCGGGACCGACAGCAACAUGAAGGCCAAGCUGAAGACUUUGCCGGAUUAGCUGAGAGGAGGUGCAUGGCGUAGACGUCU
rnacentral:rRNA from 1 species